AUACGGAGGGUCCAAGCGUUAUCCGGAAUCAUUGGGUUUAAAGGGUCCGUAGGCGGGCAAUUAAGUCAGAGGUGAAAUCCCACAGCUCAACUGUGGAACUGCCUUUGAUACUGGUUGUCUUGAAUUAUAGUGAAGUAGAUAGAAUAUGUAGUGUAGCGGUGAAAUGCUUAGAUAUUACAUAGAAUACCGAUUGCGAAGGCAGUCUACUGGCUGUAUAUUGACGCUGAUGGACGAAAGCGUGGGGAGCGAACAGAAUUAGAAACCCGUGUAGUCC
rnacentral:rRNA from 1 species